rnacentral:rRNA from 1 species
AGAGACAGCAGUCGCCGCGGUAAUACGUAGGUGGCGAGCGUUGUCCGGAAUCAUUGGGCGUAAAGGGAGCGCAGGCGGGCAAGUAAGUCUUUCUUAAAAGUUCGGGGCUCAACCCCGUGAUGGGAAAGAAACUACAUGUCUUGAGUACAGGAGAGGAAAGCGGAAUUCCCAGUGUAGCGGUGAAAUGCGUAGAUAUUGGGAGGAACACCAGUGGCGAAGGCGGCUUUCUGGACUGCAACUGACGCUGAGGCUCGAAAGCCAGGGGAGCGAACGGGAUUAGAUACCCGGGUAGUCCCUGUCUCUUAUACA